rnacentral:lncRNA from 1 species
AUUUUUGGCUUGUCCUCAAGAUAUCCAUCAUCUUUCCGUAUUUUUUCUCCUACAUAACAUAUCUUGGUGAAUGACAGCAAAAUUACAUUUAAUAGUUAACAAGGCAGACAUUGUUGAGAGCAAUAAAUCUGGAAACAGAAAUUGAGAAUCUUGAAAUAUUCAGUGAAGAGAAGGAGCAAUUCUGGAAAUAUUUUGAAGUGAGAAUUAGCUGUGCUUGGUCAACAACUGAAAGUGAGAAGACUUUCUCCUCCAGGAGAGAAUUAGGACAUAGAGUCAUGUGAGGUGCUGAAUUGAGCUCCGAAGUUCAUACAUGAACACAACACUCGUUCUAAUUAUCUACCUGUAUCAGAAUAGUAAAAGGAGACACCAUGCGGAAGGAGACUGUAGACCAUGAAGGUGACACAUUGAAAGUAAGAGAGAGCAGAAUAAAUUGAUACUCAGAAAUGUUUUGUCA